GCGAUGGAUUGUUUUGUUUUGUUGGAGUGGCAUAUUGCUUGUAUCUGGUAAUUAUAGCAUCGGCCUUGGAGUUUAUCCGCCGACUGAUCCUCAACUUUAUACUUUAAACGCCAAGAAGGGUCCUUUUGAGGAACCCGAACUAAUGGCACUCAGAUUUGAUUAUUUGAUUAGUCCAAUUGAAAAGGUUAAAAUUACAUACGUAAAUAUUACCGUUUCACUAACGAAUCUUGGAACAUUCGAAGCUUCACCUUUUCCAACCCUACCGGAAGGUUUCAUAGUGACUGUUAGCAGCCGCGAACCAAUGACGGAGCUUCACGGUACUGCUACUUUGUAUGGAAUUCGUUAUGAAGAUUAAUGAAAAAUAUUAGCGAAUAAAACAUAAAUAAUGA